UGCGUAGGUGGUUUCUUAAGUCAGAGGUGAAAGGCUACGGCUCAACUGUAGUAAGCCUUUGAAACUGGGAAACUUGAGUGCAGGAGAGGAGAGUGGAAUUCCUAGUGUAGCGGUGAAAUGCGUAGAUAUUAGGAGGAACACCAGUUGCGAAGGCGGCUCUCUGGACUGUAACUGACACUGAGGCACGAAAGCGUGGGGAGCAAACAG
rnacentral:rRNA from 1 species